AUUGAACGCUGGCGGCAGGCUUAACACAUGCAAGUCGAGCGAGCGGCGGACGGGUGAGUAAUGUCUGGGAAACUGCCUGAUGGAGGGGGAUAACUACUGGAAACGGUAGCUAAUACCGCAUACCAUCAGAUGUGCCCAGAUGGGAUUAGCUAGUAGGUGGGGUAACGGCUCACCAAGGCGACGAUCCGUAGCUGGUUUGAGAGGACGACCAGCCACACUGGGACUGAGACACGGCCCAGACUCCUACGGGAGGCAGCAGUGGGGAAUUUUGGACAAUGGGGGAAACCCUGAUCCAGCCAUGCCGCGUGUGCGAAGAAGGCCUUCGGGUUGUAAAGCACUUUUGGCAGGAAGGCGUUACCUGCAGAAGAAGCACCGGCUAACUACGUGCCAGCAGCCGCGGUAAUUC
rnacentral:rRNA from 1 species